rnacentral:pre_miRNA from 1 species
UUAACUCAUAUUUGUAUGGAAUGGGAUCGUUUGAUUACGUUUGCCGCUAGGGGCGCUGUUCCCACUGCAUACAAAAUUGGGUUA